rnacentral:tRNA from 1 species
GCCUUCGUGGUGUAGUGGUCAGCACGCUGGGCGCGUAUUCCAGAGGUCCGUGGUCGAGUCCCGGCGAAGGCG